rnacentral:rRNA from 1 species
AUUGAACGCUGGCGGCAGGCCUAACACAUGCAAGUCGAGCGUGAAAGGGCUUCGGCCUGAGUAAAGCGGCGGACGGGUGAGUAACGCGUAGGAAUCUACCUGGUAGUGGGGGAUAACGUUCCGAAAGGGACGCUAAUACCGCAUACGUUCCGAGGAAGAAAGCGGGGGAUCGCAAGACCUGCGCUAUCAGAUGAGCCUGCGUCCGAUUAGCUAGUUGGUGGGGUAAAGGCCUACCAAGGCGACGAUCGGUAACUGGUCUGAGAGGAUGAUCAGUCACACUGGAACUGAGACACGGUCCAGACUCCUACGGGAGGCAGCAGUGGGGAAUAUUGGACAAUGGGCGCAAGCCUGAUCCAGCCAUGCCGCGUGUGUGA